ensembl:lncRNA UCA1 urothelial cancer associated 1
GCUGACUCUCUUUUCAGACUCAGCCCACUUGCACCCAAGUGAAUUAACAGCCUUGUUGCUCACACAAAGCCUGUUUAGGUGGUCUUCUAUACGGACAUGCUUGACACUUGGUGCCAAAAUCUGGGCCAGGGGGACUCCUUCGUGAGACCGGCCCCCUGUCCUGGCCCUCAUUCCGUGAAGAGAUCCACCUGCGACCUCGGGUCCUCAGACCAGCCCAAGGAACAUCUCACCAAUUUCAAAUCGGGAUCUGCAAUCAGAACUAUUGAACUUCUCCAUUCAGACCGCCACUCACACCUAUGGGAAAAGGGUGUCCACGCAGUCCCUGGUCACACUUGAAGCAGUCCGGAGAAAUAUCAGCCCUACCCCAGUAAUCCCCAGAAGGAACUUACACUUUUUUUUAAUCUUUUCCUACAACUUCAUAUUUUAUAAAUAAAAAGACAAAAAUGUCAGGCCUGUGAGCUGAAGCUUAGCCAUUGUAACCCCUGUGACCUGCACAUAUCCGUCCAGGUGGCCUGCAGGAGCCAAGAAGUCUGGAGCAGCCGAAAAACCACAAAGAAGUGAAACAGCCAGUUCCUGCCUUAACUAAUUAACCCACCUUACGACAUUCCACCAUUAUGACUUGUCCACCAUUAUGACUUGUUCCUGCCCUGCCCCAACUGAUCAAUCAACCCUGUGACAUUCUUCUCCUGGACAAUGAGUCCCAUCAUCUCUCCACCAUGCACCUUGUGACCCCCUCCUCUGCUGAGGAUAACCACCUUUAACUGUAACUUUCCACGCCUACCCAAGCCCUAUAAAGCUGCCCCUCUCCUAUCUCCCUUCACUGACUCUCUUUUCGGACUCAGCCCACUUGCACCCAAGUGAAUUAACAGCCUUGUUGCUCACACAAAGCCUGAUUGGGUGUCUUCUAUACGGACACGCGUGACAGGAACCUCAACCCAAAGGCAGUCUGAUGAGGUGUCUAAGAUAAAAGUAGCGGCACAAAGGCUUUUGUAAA